rnacentral:rRNA from 1 species
UACGUAGGGUGCGAGCGUUGUCCGGAAUUAUUGGGCGUAAAGAGCUCGUAGGCGGUUUGUCGCGUCGACUGUGAAAACCUGGAGGCUUAACCUCGGGCCUGCAGUCGGAUACGGGCAGACUAGAGUUCGGUAGGGGAGACUGGAAUUCCUGGUGUAGCGGUGAAAUGCGCAGAUAUCAGGAGGAACACCGGUGGCGAAGGCGGGUCUCUGGGCCGAUACUGACGCUGAGGAGCGAAAGCGUGGGGAGCGAACAGG